rnacentral:rRNA from 1 species
UGUUUACAACAUAAUGUUAAUGUACUAUAUCUCAUUAGAACUUCACAGUUAAGCAUGCUCAGACUAGAGUAGUAUUGGGAUGGGUGAUCGCCCGAGAAGUCCUAGUGUUUUACAUAC